rnacentral:lncRNA from 1 species
AAAGUUUAGAGGGCGGAUCGGGUGACCGGGCAGGCAGCCGGGACCAGCUGGAGACGGCAGCCAGGCGGGAGUGGAAUGGGCACAAGGGAGGGGCUGGUAGGGACGACCCCUCCCAUAUUGGGCCUUAAAGCAGAAGGGUGCCCCAGGUGGCGGUCCCAGAAGCCAGGUGGCCAGCCAAGGCAAGGGAGGAAGAAACCCCAGCUCCAGGGGCUCAGCAGGCAAAGGGAAUCACUGAGUGGGGGCACCACCCGUGGACUCCAAUAUCUCAACCUCUCCCUCCACAGGUUGGAGGUGGGAGGAACAACCCCCACCAAACCCAGAGCCGAAAACUGAGGGAGUUUUACAGACAGGACGGAGCUCCUGCACCUCGGAGCCUCAGUUGGGAAUGACCUGGGGUCUUGUCCUGAAGCUGAGUCUGGUGAACGUGCCCCAUUUGUAACAUGAGGGGUACUUCUCUGGAGGGACUGUAUGUUGACAGUGGCAGAGUGGAGCCCUGAAGUCCACCUGAGUGAAUAUACCAGGGCUUGAGAAUGGGCUUUGA